CAGAAAAAAACAGCUCAAAAUCUUGAAGAAAAAUACAUAAAACCUAAAGAUUCUCAGACAGUUGGCCAGGCUAUCUAAUGAAAUAUGAUUGUAGGAGUCCUCAGUAUUGGCAAAUCUGAAGAGUUUAAGGCUGCAACAAAAUGAUUGUUACAUUUCCCAGCCUAGAGGGUCGAUACACUGAAGAGCCAUUUGUAACAUUCUUUAGUUACUAAGCCAUAUGUGAAAUGCUUAAAAAAAGACAAGUAUUUAAAUUAUUUUGUUUGAAAUUGAGGUUGUUCUCUUAAAAAAUCAUGAGAACACACAUCAAAUAGCUUGUGAAAAGAGUUCGAGCACGAAUGUGUGUUUUCGUGGAAUUUUACAUCUAGUUUUAGAAAUCCUAAACUGUGCCUUCAUGGGCACCUAGUCUCAGUAAUGGGAGUUUCAAAAUGAAGACCAUUAUAGACACAUUGAAAACUGAACAUUUUAAACUCAAUUUGAAGUCCCGACAAUUCACACUGGAUCUGAUAACCCCGAAUGUUUAUGAAAUGUAUCUUUGGGAGAAAGUUGUUACAUAAAAGUGAAAUGAUAAUGAACUAUGUUUAUUAAAAAUGAAACCCCACGUAUUAUUAUCAUCAUCAGAUAAUACAAUUUGAUGAAGUCUUAUGUACACUCACCUUCAAUGUGACAGAUCGCACCCACUGUAAUGAAACGUAUCAGUUAGCUUUCCCGAUAUGUUAAUAGUAAAUGUACAUACAGGUAUUAGAGCAGUAUGAGAUGGUAAUAAGAACCAUAAUGUAUAGAAACGCCUUACUUUUACAUAUGAUUUGAGUUUUGGUUAUUCUGUUUUUGUUUGUAUACUUUUUGUUGACUUCUAGGUACAACCCUCAUAACCAAUUGUACCUCCACUGCUUAGAAUUCAAAACAUUACUGGUUGUUCCACAUUUACCUUUUUUUUAUCUGUUUUCAG